rnacentral:rRNA from 1 species
UACGGAGGAUCCGAGCGUUAUCCGGAUUUAUUGGGUUUAAAGGGUGCGUAGGUGGUUUGAUAAGUCAGCGGUGAAAGUUUGCAGCUUAACUGUAAAAAUGCCGUUGAAACUGUCGGACUUGAGUGUAAAUGAGGUAGGCGGAAUGCGUGGUGUAGCGGUGAAAUGCAUAGAUAUCACGCAGAACUCCGAUUGCGAAGGCAGCUUACUAAGCUACAACUGACACUGAAGCACGAAAGCGUGGGGAUCAAACAGGAUUAGAUACCCUGGUAGUCCACGCAGUAAACGAUGAGUACUAGCUGUUUGCGAUACACAGUAAGCGGCACAGCUAAAGCGUUAAGUAAUCCACCUGGGGAGUACGCCGGCAACGGUGAA